rnacentral:rRNA from 1 species
GUCCACGCCGUAAACUAUGAUCACUGGAUGUUGGUCCUGCUUUUUUGCGGGAUUAGUAUCGAAGCUAACGCGUUAAGUGAUCCACCUGGGAACUACGAUCGCAAGAUUAAAACUCAAAGGAAUUGACGGGGGGUCCGCACAAGCGGUGGAACAUGUUGUUUAAUUCGACACUACGCGAGGAACCUUACCUGGGCUUGACAUACUUUUGACCGCUGUAGAAAUACAGUUUUCUAGGCUUUUGUUUAGACAGAAGUACAGGUGCUGCAUGGCUGUCGU